rnacentral:tRNA from 1 species
CUCCCUCGGUAAGGAUCGAACUUACAGCCUCCAGAUUAACAGUCUGACGCGCUAGCCAAUUGCGCCACGAGGGA